rnacentral:rRNA from 1 species
CGAACGCUGGCGGCGUGCCUAACACAUGCAAGUCGAACGCGCUCCAUUCGGUAGCAAUACUGAUGAAGAGCGAGUGGCGAACGGGUGAGUAGCACGUGAGCAACUGCCCCGAAGACUGGGACAACACCGGGAAACUGGUGCUAAUACCGGAUAUCCCUAUCGGACCGCAUGAUCUGAUAAGGAAAUGGAUUCCGCUUCGGGAGGGGCUCGCGGCCUAUCAGCUAGUUGGUGAGGUAAUAGCUCACCAAGGCAUCGACGGGUAGCUGGUCUGAGAGGACGAUCAGCCACACUGGGACUGAGACACGGCCCAGACUCCUACGGGAGGCAGCAGUGGGGAAUCUUGCGCAAUGGGCGAAAGCCUGACGCAGCAACGCCGCGUGGAGGACGAAGGCUUUCUGAGUUGUAAACUCCUUUCAGCAGGGACGAUAGUGACGGUACCUGCAGAAGAAGCACCGGCCAACUACGUGCCAGCAGCCGCGGUGAUACGUAGGGUGCAAGCGUUGUCCGGAUUUAUUGGGCGUAAAGAGCUCGUAGGCGGUUUGAUAAGUCGGGUGUGAAACCUCCAGGCUCAACCUGGAGCCGCCACUCGAUACUGUCAUGACUAGAAUUCGGUAGGGGACCACGGAAUUCCUGGUGUAGCGGUGAAAUGCGCAGAUAUCAGGAGGAACACCAGCAGCGAAGGCGGUGGUCUGGGCCGACAUUGACGCUGAGGAGCGAAAGCGUGGGGAGCGAACAGGAUUAGAUACCCUGGUAGUCCUAGCCCUAAACGAUGACUGCUUGGUGUGACGGGUACCCAAUCCCGCCGUGCCGUAGCUAACGCGUUAAGCAGUCCGCCUGGGGAGUACGGUCGCAAGGCUGAA